UGCUCUCAGAGGCUAGGAAACCAACCAAGCAAGGCAAGUCGGCCAUCAGGCUCAGCCUCGCAUGAAGUGCUCCUGACUUCCCACCCUUCCUCCAGGCCAGGUGUCUGCCAAUCACAAUCUGGGUUCUGUUUUCCCGCCUUUCCUGGCAGUACAAACCACGCUCCGGAUGGUGAGCAAUGCAAGUUCCAGGCAUGCCUUGCUGCAUUACUGGGUUCCCAGGUGUCACUUCAUCCAGAGGUCUGAGUUCUGCAAGGAUCGGUGACUAAGAUGGAAUUCCACUUGCAAGAGAUCUAUUGGAAAAAGCUCCUGUGAGUGAACAAUGGGAGGGAGGAGGCCUCACCACUGUGCCCAGAGCAGCACAGUGAGUCAGAGAUGAAGCUCUUGUCCCACUUGCCGCAACCCUCGAGCCCUGCUUCCCAGGUCCGCGUUCCCAGGCAGCCUGCCACAGCCAGUGCCAGUGAGAGAGUGGAUCAGGCUUCAGGAUAGCCCAGCACUGAGGACAUCCAAAACAGUCUUCAUUUAUUUAUUUAUUGUUCAUAGUGUCCAAAAGUUGGAAUUAAAGUGAAUGGCUGAAUCAA